rnacentral:rRNA from 1 species
UGGGGAAUUUUGGACAAUGGGGGCAACCCUGAUCCAGCAAUGCCGCGUGUGUGAAGAAGGCCUUCGGGUUGUAAAGCACUUUUGUCCGGGAAGAAAUCGCACCUGAUAAUACCGGGUGUGGAUGACGGUACCGGAAGAAUAAGGACCGGCUAACUACGUGCCAGCAGCCGCGGUAAUACGUAGGGUCCAAGCGUUAAUCGGAAUUACUGGGCGUAAAGCGUGCGCAGGCGGUUGUGCAAGACCGAUGUGAAAUCCCCGGGCUUAACCUGGGAAGUGCAUUGGUGACUGCACGGCUAGAGUGUGUCAGAGGGGAGUAGAAUUCCACGUGUAGCAGUGAAAUGCGUAGAGAUGUGGAGGAAUACCGAUGGCGAAGGCAGCCCCCUGGGAUAACACUGACGCUCAUGCACGAAAGCGUGGGGAGCAAACAGG